rnacentral:rRNA from 1 species
UACGAAGGGGGCUAGCGUUAAUCGGAAUUACUGGGCGUAAAGCGCGCGUAGGCGGCUUUUCAAGUCGAUUGUGAAAUCCCCGGGCUUAACCUGGGAACUGCAGUCGAGACUGUCUAGCUAGAGUAUGGGAGAGGGAAGUGGAAUUUCAGGUGUAGCGGUGAAAUGCGUAGAUAUCUGAAGGAACAUCAGUGGCGAAAGCGACUUCCUGGACCAAUACUGACGCUCAUGUGCGAAAGCGUGGGGAGCAAACAGG